UACGUAGGGGGCUAGCGUUGUCCGGAAUCAUUGGGCGUAAAGAGCGUGUAGGCGGCCCGGUAAGUCCGCUGUGAAAGUCGGGGGCUCAACCCUCGGAUGCCGGUGGAUACUGUCGGGCUCGAGUACGGAAGAGGCGAGUGGAAUUCCUGGUGUAGCGGUGAAAUGCGCAGAUAUCAGGAGGAACACCGAUUGCGAAGGCAGCUCGCUGGGACGUGACUGACGCUGAGACGCGAAAGCGUGGGGAGCAAACAGG
rnacentral:rRNA from 1 species